rnacentral:rRNA from 1 species
UCCAGACUCCUACGGGAGGCAGCAGUAGGGAAUAUUGCUCAAUGGGGGAAACCCUGAAGCAGCAACGCCGCGUGGAGGAUGAAGGUUUUAGGAUUGUAAACUCCUUUUGUUAGAGAAGAUUAUGACGGUAUCUAACGAAUAAGCACCGGCUAACUCCGUGCCAGCAGCCGCGGUAAUACGGAGGGUGCAAGCGUUACUCGGAAUCACUGGGCGUAAAGAGUGCGUAGGCGGGGUAAUAAGUAGCUAGUGAAAUCUGGUGGCUCAACCAUUCAGACUAUUAGCUAAACUGUUAAGCUCGAGACCGUUAGGGGUAACUGGAAUUUCUAGUGUAGGAGUGAAAUCCGUAGAUAUUAGAAGGAACACCAAUAGCGUAGGCAGGUUGCUGGGACGGUUCUGACACUAAGGCACGAAAGCGUAGGGAGCAAACGGGAUUAGAUACCCCCGUAU